UACGUAGGUGGCGAGCGUUGUCCGGAUUUACUGGGCGUAAAGGGAGCGUAGGCGGACUUUUAAGUGAGAUGUGAAAUACCCGAGCUCAACUUGGGUGCUGCAUUUCAAACUGGAAGUCUAGAGUGCAGGAGAGGAGAAUGGAAUUCCUAGUGUAGCGGUGAAAUGCGUAGAGAUUAGGAAGAACACCAGUGGCGAAGGCGAUUCUCUGGACUGUAACUGACGCUGAGGCGCGAAAGCGUGGGGAGCGAACAGGAUUAGAUA
rnacentral:rRNA from 1 species